rnacentral:rRNA from 1 species
GACGAACGCUGGCGGCGUGCCUAAUACAUGCAAGUCGAACGCAGUGGGGACGGGUGAGUAACACGUGGGUAACCUCCCAUCAGAGGGGAUAACACCUGGAAACAGGUGCUAAACCGAUACUGAUGGAUGGAACCGCGUUGCAUUAGCUAGUUGGUGAGGUAACGGCUCACCAAGGCCGCGAUGCAUAGCCGACCGGAGAGGGGGAUCGGCCACACUGGGACUGAUACACGGCCCAGACUCCUACGGUAGGCAGCAGUGGGGUAUCUUCGGCAAUGGACGAAAGUCUGACCGAGCAACGCCGCUUUAGUGAAGAAGGUGUUCGGAUCGUAAAUCUCUGUUGUUAGAGAAGCGGGAUCUAACCAGAAAGCCACGGCUAACUACGUGCCAGCAGCCGCGGUAAUUC